GGGCAUAUAGCUCAGUUGGUAGAGCAAUGAGCUUUUAACUCAUUGGCCUUGGGUUCGAGUCCCAAUGUGCCCA
rnacentral:tRNA from 2 species